UAAGUACUCCUUCUGUUCGGAAUUACUUGUCGCAGAAAUGAAUGUAUGUAGACGUAUUUUAGUUUUAAAUAUAUCUAUUUUCGAGACAAGUAAUUUCGAACGGAGUGAGUACAUG
rnacentral:pre_miRNA from 1 species